ensembl:lncRNA
CUCUGUGGAUGUGCAACUUAUGAAGUGUAAAGCUUGAAGACAUGGUUACUAAAUUAAUGCAUAUUGAAGACUCCCAGUCAGUUUUACUGAGCUGUACUCAGCUGAAAGAAGUACCCGGGUUCCAGGCCCUAAUCAUUGUAUGUUGAUGGCUUCAAGACACAACUGGAUGGGGUGCUAGAUAAUCUCACCUGAGCAGAUUUUCUAUAAAAGGCUGAACCAGGUGAUCUCUUUAGAUCAGUUCUUACUGGAGGUUGUUAUGUGAUUCAUAGCAGCCUGAUAAGAAACCAGAAAAGCUAUGAGAAACACAGUCUUCAUUUCUACUGAGAUGUAGACACCACUAGUGAGGCUCCCAGCUAGUAAGACUCACUGAGCAGUUUGCAUCUUGACCAGGAUACCAUUUGGGUAGCCCAGUUCCAGAUGACAAAGAGCUUUGUCCUUUGCCACUAAUGAAAAUACUGAACACUUGCAGUGCUGCUGCAGCUCUUCCAGAUGAGGGAAUGUGGUGAAGAUCUCCUUGUGUAGGAGAGCUCUCUGAGGGUGCGUAGCCUUCUUCUGAACCUCUGGCACCCCUGGCUUCCUUCUAAGAUGGUCUGCUUCUCAUGGAACAACACCAAAAAACAUUUCUUCUGCAACGAUCUUCUGGAAACUUUGUUUGAUGAAUGCAUUCUGAUGCAGCCCUAAUGAUAGGACCUAAACAGUUCAUCAUAUAUUGGCAUCAGAAUUGAGUUUUAUUUCUCUUCACCUGGUUUUGUUUGAUGUCUGUGAAAGAGGAAGAGGACAUAAAAUACCACGCCAUCUCUGCAUAGAGAAUUGUUAUUAUGGAUGUAGGAACUCUAGGAUAGGAGGGUAGUAGCAUCUGGCAUUCUGUGUGUGUGUGUGUGUGUGUGUGUGUGUGUGUGUGUGUGUGUGUGUGUGUGUGUGUGUUUCUGAGUGCUUGAUGCAACAGGAGCUUUUACAACCACAUGACGGCGGCUGUACUCAAGUCAGCUUUACUUCUCAGUACUCAGUGCUGCCGUCUGAACGUUUUCCAAACAUAUGGGAAUAGGACACAAAUAACUAUUCUUUGACAGAUGGGUAGAACUUUACCACCGACUCUUAAAACUGCUUCAGGAAACUGGGAGAAGAAAACAAACAACAGCAACAACAAAAAUACUUCCGCCUGUGUUUAAAAGGAAAAGGAGAGACACCUAAUUUAAGGCUGCAUAAAGGCUCCCUGCAACAGACUUUGGAGUGAGGUCUUCGACCCAAGUGCAGAGUUGUAUUCUUUUACUAUUUUUUAGUUCCAGACUAGGCAGCCAUCUAUAACAGAGCUAGUGAUGGUAGAGGAAGAAAGAAUGGUCUGUUAAGUGGCAGCCCUUAAGCUACAUGCUUUUAGUAAGGCUGGAAGAGUCUACAGUUCAAGAGAACCUGCAAAAGUUGAAAGACUGAGAAGAUUUUAUCUUGUGACAUCAGUAAAUGUAAUGUCAUCUUUUUCCUCCCUUCUUUCUGAUGCUUUAACUUUUACUAAAGGUUGGACUGGAGUUGAUAGUCAUCUUUUUACCCACACUGGUAGAUGCUUUUGAAUUGUUCUGGAAGAGUAUUAAGAACACUUGUUUAUAUAUGUAUGUUUUCAAUGUAUGUUAGCCUCUACCUCUGUCAUAAUUCUUAAAUCAGACUGGACCCAUGACAGUAUUUUGCCUGCCUGAACACUCUCACUUUUCUGUUUUCACCUUUCUCUGAUAUCUCCUGCCCAUUUGUGAGGCACACUCUUACUUGAAAUUCUUACUGAAGAUGGGAGCAUAUCCUAAGCAUGAACGUUUUUUAAAUGACAUACCUUGGAAGAAAACCUGAAAAUCACACAGAGUGCAGUGUAAAGCCCAGAACACAAUUUAGUAGUGACUUUUAUCGGAAAGCUGACAUUGACCAUACCAUACUGAUUAGUACAUGCUCCCUGCAUAUCUUAAAGACAUUUCAAAGGCUGGAAUUUCACAGAUCUUUGGUAAUUGCCUACCUCUUGUCCAGCUGAUUCAAUGUCUGCAGAAUUAAUUUAUUUUCAGAGUUUGAAAUAUUUUAUCUAUAUCCCUCCUACUUGCUUGUAUUUCCACACGCCAAGGUGGACAGAAAUACUUUCUGCACUGUCUUUGAAAAUAAGCUUUUCAGUUGUUCAAAUUCUGUGCUGCAAAAUAAGAACUGGGAGAUAUAUGGUUGUAUGCAUGUGUACUUGUGUGGAACAUAUUUAACUGAUGAACACUGGGCAAAAAAAUGUGAGAGCUGGGCAGAUCUUACUCAGUGUUUCCUUUGGAGCUCAUUGCUUGGUUGCUAGGGUUUUUAUUGUUGUUGAUAACAUCACAAGUUCGGGUCUUCUUUGCUCUUUCUUUACCUCUAAGAUGCACUGGAUAGCUGAAGUCCUGCUGAGACCACAUCUGAAAUCAGACCUAAAGAGUCUUUGUUCAGCUGAGAACUUUACUGUCUCCCCCAGAGGACUGCACACAGCAUGGAGGAAAGCCUGUUCUCAUUGCACAAUGCCAACUUUUUCAAGUCGUGUUCUGAGGAUGUUCUGAUGCACAAAGUAAUUUCCAAGCUGUCUUCCACUGAAAUCAGAAAGCUAUGACCUUGCACUCCUGAACUCUUUUACUGAAAUUAAAAGCAUCAGAAAGAGGGGGAAAAAAAAGCCCAAACAUCAAAUCUUUUUCUCCCCUCUUUUGUGGAGUUGUCAUGCCUCAGUUGUAAAUUAAAAUUGUAGGACUUUUGAUGAGAAUGGAGCAUUUGGCUGCCUCAUUUCGUGCUAGAUCAGGAACAGCAAAGGAGAGCACUCGCUUUGCAUGGAUAGGGAUGGGGGCUGCUGCCCAGAAAUCUGCCAGUUCUCUUCUGCCUGUGCAGCCCGGUCCUUGGGCCCCUUUCAUCUCAGCCCCUGCUGCAUGGUAACACCUGCUCUGGAGCUACACAGGGAGCGGAGCCGAUAAAGGUGGUGUUUUGCAGACCUGAGUGUGCUGGAGCGCCUUAGCUUUUUGGAUGGCCCUGCUUUCUCUGGCCCGGAUCCAAUACACCACUUAGACAUCUGCUUAACUUUAAGCAUGUGAGUAUCCCCUUUGAAGUCCUGUGUAUAUUGUUUUGGUGGACUGAGGUCAAUGAGCUCAGUACCUUGCAGGAUUGAGCUCCUGAAUGUCAGAUUUGAUUAAAUGCUCCCCCUCCACCCCCUCCUCUCCUACCAUGAAAGCCUGAUCAGAGCUGAAACAGCCUCAGAAAGAAAAAGGCAGCUGGUGGGAAAUGACUCUGGCUCAGCUGUGGUAGCUUGGUCUUAAAUUGUUGCAGAUCUAAACCGAAAGAAAAGCAGAGCAAAAAGUCAGAGCAGAGAUCUGAUCAAAAAAUGAAACCAUCUCCACUUCUACGAGGGGGCUGUGAGGUCUCAAACAGGAGCAGCUACUCCUCCAUCAUGCUGCCUCUUUCUCUUCAAAUCCCUCUUUUUGUCGCUUCAGGGUCCAGCCGCCACGUUAUUUGAGUGGUGACUGCUCCCCGCUAAUUGUGCUCCCGUUUCCUCCUGUGACUCGGCUCCAAAAUGUGCACUCUGCGAGCAGAAUGAGCUGCGCGCUCUCCCAGUCUGCUGCUUGUCAACUCGCAUCAGUUUCAGGUCAGGAAAGCUAACGGGGAACAAGGCGCUGCAGCAUUUGAACUCAACCUUGCUUUCCUGAGGAACAAACUGACAAUUAGUACAGGGAUCAGCAUCAAAAAAGAGCAACCCAGCAUGAAGCCUGUCUAAUUAGUCAUAUGAACGGAGGGCUUCCCCUCCACUUCCUCUAGAACACAUGCCUGUCAGAUCUUAUACCAAGAG